UACGUAGGUGGCAAGCGUUGUCCGGAUUUAUUGGGUUUAAAGGGUGCGUAGGCGGCUUUGUAAGUCAGUGGUGAAAUAUGGCAGCUCAACUGUCAGGGCGCCAUUGAUACUGCGGAGCUUGAGUACAGAUGAGGUAGGCGGAAUUGACGGUGUAGCGGUGAAAUGCUUAGAUAUCGUCAAGAACACCGAUAGCGAAGGCAGCUUACUAGGCUGUAACUGACGCUGAGGCACGAAAGUGUGGGGAUCAAACAGG
rnacentral:rRNA from 1 species